AGAGUUUGAUCCUGGCUCAGAUUGAACGCUGGCGGCAGGCCUAACACAUGCAAGUCGAGCGGAUGAGAGGAGCUUGCUCCUUGAUUUAGCGGCGGACGGGUGAGUAAUGCCUAGGAAUCUGCCUGGUAGUGGGGGAUAACGUUCCGAAAGGAACGCUAAUACCGCAUACGUCCUACGGGAGAAAGCAGGGGACCUUCGGGCCUUGCGCUAUCAGAUGAGCCUAGGUCGGAUUAGCUGGUUGGUGAGGUAAUGGCUCACCAAGGCGACGAUCCGUAACUGGUCUGAGAGGAUGAUCAGUCACACUGGAACUGAGACACGGUCCAGACUCCUACGGGAGGCAGCAGUGGGGAAUAUUGGACCAUGGGCGAAAGCCUGAUCCAGCCAUGCCGCGGUGUGUUGAAGAAGGUCUUCGGAUUGUAAAGCACUUUAAGUUGGGAGGAAGGGCAUUAACCUAAUACGUUAGUGUUUUGACGUUACCGACAGAAUAAGCACCGGCUAACUUCGUGCCAGCAGCCGCGGUAAUACGAAGGGUGCAAGCGUUAAUCGGAAUUACUGGGCGUAAAGCGCGCGUAGGUGGUUCGUUAAGUUGGAUGUGAAAGCCCCGGGCUCAACCUGGGAACUGCAUCCAAAACUGGCGAGCUAGAGUACGGUAGAGGGUGGUGGAAUUUCCUGUGUAGCGGUGAAAUGCGUAGAUAUAGGAAGGAACACCAGUGGCGAAGGCGACCACCUGGACUGAUACUGACACUGAGGUGCGAAAGCGUGGGGAGCAAACAGGAUUAGAUACCCUGGUAGUC
rnacentral:rRNA from 1 species